rnacentral:rRNA from 1 species
AUUGAACGCUGGCGGCAUGCUCUACACAUGCAAGUCGAACGGCAGCGCGGGCUUCGGCCUGGCGGCGAGUGGCGAACGGGUGAGUAAUACAUCGGAACGUGCCCAGUAGUGGGGGAUAGCUCGGCGAAAGCCGGAUUAAUACCGCAUACGACCUGAGGGUGAAAGCGGGGGAUCUUCGGACCUCGCGCUAUUGGAGCGGCCGAUGGCAGAUUAGCUAGUUGGUGGGGUAAAGGCCUACCAAGGCGACGAUCUGUAGCUGGUCUGAGAGGACGACCAGCCACACUGGGACUGAGACACGGCCCAGACUCCUACGGGAGGCAGCAGUGGGGAAUUUUGGACAAUGGGCGAAAGCCUGAUCCAGCAAUGCCGCGUGUGUGAUGAAGGCCUUCGGGUUGUAAAGCACUUUUGGCGGGAACGAAAAGGACUGUGCCAAUACCACGUUUCGAUGACGGUACCCGCAGAAUAAGCACCGGCUAACUACGUG